UCGGAAGUUCCGAGGUGUGGAGAAUCCAAAUAUAGCAUUCCACGGUCAAAACUCAAAAUCUCCUUGAGUGGUGGAGAGAAGGGAGAGGAGGGCGCCAGUUUGAAGAAAAAGGGAGUUAGGGUUUGAGGAUGGCAGUUUAGUGGUAUUUAUACCCCUGGGAGACCGUUGGAAGAUCCGAUGGCCCGUCGGAAGCUCCGAUGGGAGAUGAGAUUCUCCAGUGCACCCCUGUCGGGACUUGGAAACUUCUGGUACCCACCAAAAGUUCCAGUAGAGUGUCGGAAGUUCUGACAGGUUCAAAACAGCUCCAAAAAGAUAGAUUUCAAGAUGGAUAUUGAUUGAGAUUUCUAGAUGAAAGGCUUAUGGACAUAUAAGACAUCUUGACCCUAAAGUGAUCAGCGAACAAGCAACAUUACAUAACAAUGAUGACUUGAGUCAAGAUUUGAUCCGAGGAUCAAAAUCCAAGUUUUGAAAGAAACUCAACACAAUUAAACCCAUUUUCC
rnacentral:lncRNA from 1 species